UACGUAGGAGGCAAGCGUUGUCCGGAUUUAUUGGGCGUAAAGCGCGCGCAGGCGGCACUCCAAGUACGGUGUGAAAUCUCCCUGCUCAACGGGGAGGGUGCAUUGUAAACUGGGGGAGCUAGAGGACGGUAGAGGGGGGGUAGAAUUGCUGGUGUAGCGGUGAAAUGCGUAGAGAUCAGCAGGAAUACCCGUGGCGAAGGCGGCUCGCUGGACCGGUUCUGACGCUGAGGCGCGAAAGCGUGGGGAGCAAACGGG
rnacentral:rRNA from 1 species